rnacentral:rRNA from 1 species
UACGGAGGGUGCAAGCAUUGAUCGGAAUUACUGGGCGUAAAGGGCGCGUAGGCGGUGCUGUAAGUCAGAUGUGAAAUUCCGGGGCUCAACCCCGGAGCUGCGUUUGAAACUACAGCGCUAGAGUAUAGUUAGGGUAAACGGAAUUCCACGUGUAGCGGUGAAAUGCGUAGAUAUGUGGAAGAACACCAGUGGUGAAGACGGUUUACUGGGCUAUAACUGACGCUGAGGCGCGAAAGCAUGGGGAGCAAACAGG